rnacentral:rRNA from 1 species
UACGAAGGGGGCUAGCGUUGCUCGGAAUCACUGGGCGUAAAGCGCACGUAGGCGGCUUUUUAAGUCAGGGGUGAAAUCCUGGAGCUCAACUCCAGAACUGCCUUUGAUACUGGCGGCCUUGAGUCCGGGAGAGGUGAGUGGAACUGCGAGUGUAGAGGUGAAAUUCGUAGAUAUUCGCAAGAACACCAGUGGCGAAGGCGGCUCACUGGCCCGGUACUGACGCUGAGGUGCGAAAGCGUGGGGAGCAAACAGG